ensembl:lncRNA
GAGAAGAAACAGCUCAUCCCAAAUCAAGAGCAGCAGGAGUGGGAAUCCGCUACUGAACACACUCAGAAUAAUCUCAGAGGUUCUGACCUGGGUGUUUUCUUGCUCUGUGAUGGGCUGAAGGGUUUGCAGAAUACUACAGAAUGAGCACACUGAAGCUUUGGGCUGUUUGACAUGAAGGAAAAUAAGUCUGGCGUGACUGGAGCUUGGAAAUACAGCACGUGAGUGUCCUGUGGGAAUUGGGUUCUGGAUAAUGCAGCCACAAACAGGAACGGAGACCAGAGCCUGAAAUAAGGCUUGUUCCACAAAAGAUGUAAUGGAACUGACCAUGCAAUUACAGAUCAUUUUUAAAACAAGUGGUGAGAACAGGCAGCAUAAGGAGCCUUUCUACAGAGUGGAACUCUCAGCCUUUCUCUCUGUCUGGUCAGCACUCUGCCCAAGAUGUAGGACAAGGCUGCAGGUCAAUGACUGCCCAUACUGACACUCCUUUUUCAGACCAGAUGGAGGGCUUGGCUUGUGUUCUUUUGGGAUGUAUGUUUACUUCUGCAGCACUGCUGCCACUGCAGCCCCGUAGCAUAAUCCAGGUUGGGCUUCCUCGGGAAGUGUUUUGGG